ACGACACUCUACCCGAGGUGUACUUACCAAGGCUAUGACGGGUAUCCGGCCUGAGAGGGUGAACGGACACACUGGAACUGAGACACGGUCCAGACUCCUACGGGAGGCAGCAGUAGGGAAUAUUGCUCAAUGGGGGAAACCCUGAAGCAGCAACGCCGCGUGGAGGAUGAAGGUUUUAGGAUUGUAAACUCCUUUUGUUAGAGAAGAUAAUGACGGUAUCUAACGAAUAAGCACCGGCUAACUCCGUGCCAGCAGCCGCGGUAAUACGGAGGGUGCAAGCGUUACUCGGAAUCACUGGGCGUAAAGAGCGCGUAGGCGGGAUAGUCAGUCAGGUGUGAAAUCCUAUGGCUUAACCAUAGAACUGCAUUUGAAACUACUAUUCUAGAGUGUGGGAGAGUUGGGGUGGGAAUA
rnacentral:rRNA from 1 species